AUGGGUGUAAGUAGAUAGUGUAUGUGGGAACAGUUUGGGAGGAUGAGAAAGGUGUGGUUGUACGCAUAGAAACAAAGAAGUUUGGAUGAGAGGAGGAAUGAAGAGUCUCGGUUUGAUGUUACAAGGAGAUUUUUCUGUAUGAAAAGUAAAAGGAAGAAAGGUGGGGCCUUAAUAGUUGUUAGGCAGAGGAGAUAGGUUUUAGUUUUUUCUUUAGUUUAUUUU
rnacentral:lncRNA from 1 species